rnacentral:rRNA from 1 species
UACGGGGGGAGCAAGCGUUGUUCGGAUUUACUGGGCGUAAAGGGUGCGUAGGCGGUUUUGUAAGUCUUGUGUGAAAUCUUCAGGCUCAACUUGAAGACUGCACGAGAAACUGCAGGGCUUGAGUGUGGGAGAGGUGAGUGGAAUUCCUGGUGUAGCGGUGAAAUGCGUAGAUAUCAGGAGGAACACCUGUGGCGAAAGCGGCUCACUGGACCACAACUGACGCUGAUGCACGAAAGCUAGGGGAGCAAACAGG